rnacentral:rRNA from 1 species
AGGUAAUCCUGCAGUCGAGAUUCCUACGGGAGGCAGCAGUCGGGAAUCUUGCACAAUGGGCGAAAGCCUGAUGCAGCAACGCCGCGUGAGGGAUGAAGGCCCUCGGGUCGUAAACCUCUGUCGGAAGGGAAGAAAGUAUUCCGGGCCAAUACCCCGGAGUAUCGACGGUACCUUCAAAGGAAGCGCCGGCUAACUCCGUGCCAGCAGCCGCGGUAAUACGGAGGGCGCGAGCGUUAUUCGGAAUCAUUGGGCGUAAAGCGCGUGUAGGCGGCUGGGUAAGUCGGAUGUGAAAGCCCGGGGCUCAACCCCGGAAUUGCAUUCGAAACUGCCCAGCUAGAGUCUCGGAGAGGAGGGCGGAAUUCCCGGUGUAGAGGUGAAAUUCGUAGAUAUCGGGAGGAACACCAGUGGCGAAGGCGGCCCUCUGGACGAUGACUGACGCUGAGACGCGAAAGCGUGGGGAGCAAACAGGAUUAGAUACCCUGGUAGUCCACGCCGUAAACGUUGGGUGCUAGGUGUCGCGGGUAUUGACCCCUGCGGUGCCGUCGUUAACGCAUUUAGCACCCCGCCUGGGGAGUACGGCCGCAAGGCUAAAACUCAAAGGAAUUGACGG